AUCCCAUGAUGAGGACACUUACAAAGUAAUUCCUUAAAUCUUUCCCAUACCUCGUACAAGAUUCGUCAUCCAAUUGUUGAAAAGUGGUGAUCUCAUUUCGCAACUU
rfam:Gossypium raimondii chromosome 4, whole genome shotgun sequence.